UACAGAGGGUGCGAGCGUUGUUCGGAAUUAUUGGGCGUAAAGCGCUUGUAGGCGGUUUUUCAAGUCUCGUGUGAAAGCUCCAGGCUCAACCUGGAAAGUGCGCGAGAAACUGGGAGACUUGAGUGUCGGAGAGGGUGGCGGAAUUCCCGGUGUAGAGGUGAAAUUCGUAGAUAUCGGGAGGAACACAGAGGCGAAGGCGGCCACCUGGACGAGCACUGACGCUGAGAAGCGAAAGCGUGGGGAGCAAACAGG
rnacentral:rRNA from 1 species